rnacentral:rRNA from 1 species
AGAGUUUGAUCCUGGCUCAGGACGAACGCUGGCGGCGCGCCUAACACAUGCAAGUCGAACGAGAGAGAGGGAGCUUGCUUUCUCAAUCGAGUGGCGAACGGGUGAGUAACGCGUGAGGAACCUGCCUCAAAGAGGGGGACAACAGUUGGAAACGACUGCUAAUACCGCAUAAGCCCACGGCUCGGCAUCGAGCAGAGGGAAAAGGAGCAAUCCGCUUUGAGAUGGCCUCGCGUCCGAUUAGCUAGUUGGUGAGGUAAUGGCCCACCAAGGCGACGAUCGGUAGCCGGACUGAGAGGUUGAACGGCCACAUUGGGACUGAGACACGGCCCAGACUCCUACGGGAGGCAGCAGUGGGGAAUAUUGCACAAUGGGGGAAACCCUGAUGCAGCGACGCCGCGUGGAGGAAGAAGGUCUUCGGAUUGUAAACUCCUGUUGUUGAGGAAGAUAAUGACGGUACUCAACAAGGAAGUGACGGCUAACUACGUGCCAGCAGCCGCGGUAAAACGUAGGUCACAAGCGUUGUCCGGAAUUACUGGGUGUAAAGGGAGCGCAGGCGGGAAGACAAGUUGGAAGUGAAAUCUAUGGGCUCAACCCAUAAACUGCUUUCAAAACUGUUUUUCUUGAGUAGUGCAGAGGUAGGCGGAAUUCCCGGUGUAGCGGUGGAAUGCGUAGAUAUCGGGAGGAACACCAGUGGCGAAGGCGGCCUACUGGGCACCAACUGACGCUGAGGCUCGAAAGUGUGGGUAGCAAACAGGAUUAGAUACCCUGGUAGUCCACACCGUAAACGAUGAUUACUAGGUGUUGGAGGAUUGACCCCUUCAGUGCCGCAGUUAACACAAUAAGUAAUCCACCUGGGGAGUACGACCGCAAGGUUGAAACUCAAAGGAAUUGACGGGGGCCCGCACAAGCAGUGGAGUAUGUGGUUUAAUUCGACGCAACGCGAAGAACCUUACCAAGUCUUGACAU